UACAGAGGGGGGCAAGCGUUUGUUCGGAAUUACUGGGCGUAAAGGGCGCGUAGGCGGCCACCGCAAGUCGACUGUGAAAUCUCCGGGCUUAACCCGGAAAGGUCAGCCGAUACUGCGGGGGCUAGAGUGCAGAAGGGGCAACUGGAAUUCUCGGUGUAGCGGUGAAAUGCGUAGAUAUCGAGAGGAACACCUGCGGCGAAGGCGGGUAGCUGGGCCGACACUGACGCUGAGGCGCGAAAGCUAGGGGAGCGAACGGG
rnacentral:rRNA from 1 species